UCCAUUCUAGGGGACCACUGGUGAUGGUUUCAGAACCAUGAUCCUGGGUUCCUAAGGUUGCUUCUGGAAAACAAAAAUGUAGUGAAAGCUGUAAGGCACCAAAGCCCUGACAUCUCACCACUUCAAACUGAUCUUUGGGAAUGCAGGGACCAAUGGAGGAAAUAAAUGAAAUUAACCCUGCACAGUCAAUAGAAUUCCAGAAUGAGUAAACAAGAAGAAAGAGUGCAACAAUUCCUUGAAAUUUGCUGAAUUCUCAAAUAGAGAAACACAUUUAAAGAAGGCACAAUAAGGCCUUUGAUUUGUUGUUAAGACUAAUGGAAAAGAGAAGAAAAGGAAGGAACUAAGAAAGUCCAGUCUAACACGGCUUAAAAGGACACAGAACAAUGCAGAGAAGAACAUAAUUUGGAAGAUGGAAAAGGUGUGAGGAGAAGGAUCAGGAGGCAGGACAAUUCACCUUAGAGCCUGAGACACACAUUGGGAGAGAUGGACACGAUGAUUCUUUUGUGUGAACGGAGUUUGCCAUCUGACCUCCAUUAAUGUUUAAGGAUUGCUCCAUAGCUUAAUCUUUAAGACAUCAUUCUGAAAGCAUGCCAUCAAGUGCCUGCCAAAUUUGGUUUUAAAUUCAGCUGGUUUUUAGCUAGA